rnacentral:rRNA from 1 species
CCUACGUGAUGCAGCAGUGGGGAAUAUUGGACAAUGGGCGAAAGCCUGAUCCAGCCAUGCCGCGUGUGUGAAGAAGGCCUUCGGGUUGUAAAGCACUUUCAGUGGGGAAGAAAGCCUUGGGGCUAAUACCCUCGAGGAAGGACAUCACCCACAGAAGAAGCACCGGCUAACUCCGUGCCAGCAGCCGCGGUAAUACGGAGGGUGCGAGCGUUAAUCGGAAUUACUGGGCGUAAAGCGCGCGUAGGCGGUCUGAUAAGCCGGUUGUGAAAGCCCCGGGCUCAACCUGGGAACGGCAUCCGGAACUGUCAGGCUAGAGUGCAGGAGAGGAAGGUAGAAUUCCCGGUGUAGCGGUGAAAUGCGUAGAGAUCGGGAGGAAUACCAGUGGCGAAGGCGGCCUUCUGGACUGACACUGACGCUGAGGUGCGAAAGCGUGGGUAGCAAACAGGAUUAGAUACCCCGGUAGUC